UACUCCAAUAUAUUUAGUAUUCUGUACUCCAAACCAAAUCGUAUUAUUUAUCUAUGAUUGCAGCAGUCUCUGUGAUUAAUGAUUAUCAAUCUGUGUGUUCUGUGAUCAAAAGAAAGAUUAGGAACUGAAAAAAGAAAAAGAAAUUAAGGAAAAAGUAGAUACCUCUUAAAUAAUAUCCCUCAACCAUGACAAGCUUCAAGAAGAGAGCUUAUGGAAAUCCUGUUCUACUAGUUUCAUCGGUCUUGCUAUUCUCAUCAGCAUUUUACAUGGUAUAUAAGCACUAUUAUCAACCUUAUGCUUUAAAAAGGCAAUUAAUGAAACAAGGGGAAUUGAUAAGGCCACUUUUGGAAGGAAGCACUAAGGGUGGAAGUCAAAAUUGAGAUUAUAAAAAAAUUGCUCUUUAUAAUAAAGUAUGUUUCAGUAGUAAAA